GAGUGGCGAACGGGUGAGUAACACGUGGGUAACCUGCCCAGAAGUAGGGGAUAACACCUGGAAACAGAUGCUAAUACCGUAUAACAGAGAAAACCGCAUGGUUUUCUUUUAAAAGAUGGCUCUGCUAUCACUUCUGGAUGGACCCGCGGCGUAUUAGCUAGUUGGUGAGGUAAAGGCUCACCAAGGCAGUGAUACGUAGCCGACCUGAGAGGGUAAUCGGCCACAUUGGGACUGAGACACGGCCCAGACUCCUACGGGAGGCAGCAGUAGGGAAUCUUCCACAAUGGACGCAAGUCUGAUGGAGCAACGCCGCGUGAGUGAAGAAGGGUUUCGGCUCGUAAAGCUCUGUUGUUAAAGAAGAACGUGGGUAAGAGUAACUGUUUACCCAGUGACGGUAUUUAACCAGAAAGCCACGGCUAACUACGUGCCAGCAGCCGCGGUAAUACGUAGGUGGCAAGCGUUAUCCGGAUUUAUUGGGCGUAAAGCGAGCGCAGGCGGUCUUUUAAGUCUAAUGUGAAAGCCUUCGGCUCAACCGAAGAAGUGCAUUGGAAACUGGGAGACUUGAGUGCAGAAGAGGACAGUGGAACUCCAUGUGUAGCGGUGAAAUGCGUAGAUAUAUGGAAGAACACCAGUGGCGAAGGCGGCUGUCUGGUCUGCAACUGACGCUGAGGCUCGAAAGCAUGGGUAGCGAACAGGAUUAGAUACCCUGGUAGUCCAUGCCGUAAACGAUGAUUACUAAGUGUUGGAGGGUUUCCGCCCUUCAGUGCUGCAGCUAACGCAUUAAGUAAUCCGCCUGGGGAGUACGACCGCAAGGUUGAAACUCAAAAGAAUUGACGGGGGCCCGCACAAGCGGUGGAGCAUGUGGUUUAAUUCGAAGCUACGCGAAGAACCUUACCAGGUCUUGACAUCUUCUGACAGUCUAAGAGAUUAGAGGUUCCCUUCGGGGACAGAAUGACAGGUGGUGCAUGGUUGUCGUCAGCUCGUGUCGUGAGAUGUUGGGUUAAGUCCCGCAACGAGCGCAACCCUUAUUACUAGUUGCCAGCAUUAAGUUGGGCACUCUAGUGAGACUGCCGGUGACAAACCGGAGGAAGGUGGGGACGACGUCAAAUCAUCAUGCCCCUUAUGACCUGGGCUACACACGUGCUACAAUGGAUGGUACAACGAGUCGCGAGACCGCGAGGUUAAGCUAAUCUCUUAAAACCAUUCUCAGUUCGGACUGUAGGCUGCAACUCGCCUACACGAAGUCGGAAUCGCUAGUAAUCGCGGAUCAGCAUGCCGCGGUGAAUACGUUCCCGGGCCUUGUACACACCGCCCGUCACACCAUGAGAGUUUGUAACACCCAAAGCCGGUGGGGUAACCUUUUAGGAGCUAGCCGUCUAA
rnacentral:rRNA from 1 species